rnacentral:lncRNA from 15 species
AGCUGCUGCGUUAGGACCCUGGAGAGCUGAAGAGAGGAGGAGGAGGAGGAGGAGGAGGAAAGAAGGAGAAAAACAAAGUCUGGAGGCAAAGAAAGACAAACGAUGGCAGAAGAGAUAAAACAGAGAGACAGACGGACGCUGAGGAGACAUUAAGAAAGAGACUGCAGACAGAUGAAGUGACAGCUUCAGAUCCACAGACAGAUAGAGAGAAGAAAGACAGGAGGAAAAAGAGGAGGAGGAGGAGCCAAGGAAGAGGAGGAGGGGUCAGGGAGGUGGGAGAUAAAAACAGGGUGAGCAGAGCAGAGAUGUCCAAACUGAAGAGGAUCAGAGGAGAAACACGCCGUCACUCGACGGAGAAGGAGGGACUGCGCUGAAAGACAAGAGAGGAAGAGGUGGAAAAGGAGGAGGAGGCACCAACCACCCACAGAGAGAAACUUUCCUCAUACAGACUCACUGCUUGAAACCUCUCGCUGUAUUUACGUCUGGAGGUUCAGCAGCUGAGCUUCGACUCCCUGACGAAGAAAACCUGAAAGAAAAGACGGAAAAAGACGAGAAGAAAAACUGCAGAAGAAGAGACAAACGUUGAGAUGAAGAGCUCAGAGUGUUAAAGUUUCCUUCAACAGCAGACAGAACUAAAGUUCAGCUGACCUAAGAGGAGCACACUUACAGAGGUGCAUCAUGGGAAGUCCAUAAAGACACAGACCUGAGCGCCUUCAUCCACCACACCCACCCAGCAUGCUGGCCAGGUUCUCCCAGGGACGGAGCUCUCCGGGUGGGGCAGGAGGGCUGCUGCUGCUCCCUCUGCUCCUGGGACUGAUGAUGAUGAUGAUGACGAUGGAGGCAGCGAGCGUUGAAGAACUGGAGAGCGAGGAGAGUCAGGAGAUCCUGGAGGAGGAGGAGGCCACCAGCACUGAGAUCCUGGAGCCGCUGUCCUCCGAUCUGUCCAGAGUGUCUCCUCUCAGCUCCUGGCUGAUCUUCAGAAGAAACUCCAACAAGGGGGACAACCGCAGAACCAAAGGGUCCAGGAGGACCUCCAAGCAUGGUCUUCCAGGCCCUCCAGGCCCUCCGGGACCCCAGGGGCCUCCGGGCCCCCCCGCCCCCCUGCUGCCCCAACAACAGGAGCUCAUCCAGGAGCUGCAGCUCAAACUGAGAGAUAUGACAGCAGGAGUGUGUUUUCUGUGCGAUCGGCCUCCUCGUGUGUCCACCUCCUUCCUCAGUCGCCUCCCGCAGGCCAUCACUGUCCCGCGGCGCAGCCUGUUAGAGCUGCAGCCAUUCAGCCAGCCUUCAGACUCAGAGCGGAGCCUCCAGAGGGGACAGACCUUCAACAGCAGCUCCGGCCGAUACAUGGCGCCCNNNNNNNNNNNNNNNNNNNNCUCCGGCUUCUACCAGCUGACCGCCAGCCUCCUAAUAGGUGACGCACAUACACCCUGA